GCCUUUUUAGCUCAGUUGGUAGAGUAAUUCAUUCGUAAUGAAUAGGUCUGGGGUUCGAGCCCCCAAAAAGGCU
rnacentral:tRNA from 1 species